UACAGAGGUCUCAAGCGUUGCUCGGAUUCAUUGGGCGUAAAGGGUGCGUAGGCGGCGCGGUAAGUCGGGUGUGAAAUCUCGGGGCUUAACUCCGAAACUGCAUUCGAUACUGCCGUGCUUGAGGACUGGAGAGGAGACUGGAAUUUACGGUGUAGCAGUGAAAUGCGUAGAUAUCGAGAGGAACACCUGCGGCGAAGGCGGGUUGCUGGGCCGACACUGACGCUGAUGCGCGAAAGCCAGGGGAGCGAACGGG
rnacentral:rRNA from 1 species